UGAGUCCGGUGGUCUACAUAUUUGGAUGAUAAUCUGAUUGGUGUUGCACUCCACUCUGCUGCCUCUCCCUUCUUAUGGCAUUGCGGGUCUUAUAUCAUUGUUUCUAAUGCCCAAGAGUAUAACUGAAUUCUACAAACAAGAAUUCAAGAGGUGUUUUCACAGUAUAUAUUACAAGUUUCACUUAUUCUUUUGUUGGAAAACAACAUAUAUGCUGGGCAGAGAUAACGACAGGGUGCUCAGGUUGGAGCAUCCACCGUCCAACAGUAAAGUAGACAUCGAGAUGCCACAGAAGAAGACAUGCCAUGUUUACAGCUACACUAUGGUCUAUGCCCAGGAAGCAAUGCACAUGUCAAUAAAUUCUUUAAACACAUUUUAAGAUGAAGGAUCUUGAGCAGGAGAGAGUUUUUGGGCAUCAAAUUCAUAGGUCAUCAAGUACCUAUUGGCUUCAUCAGAGUACAUCAAUGCCUUAUUGAUUUAGCUCACUUUACGAAUCAUAAUGUCAUUGACACACCUGUGGGGUUUAAUGUUAAUUAUUCAGAGGAUGAUGGUCAUCCACAUGGCGGACUUUAACUCAUAGAGAUGGUUGAUAUUGCCCACAGCUGUUAUGGUGUCAAGCCAUCAGUCUUGAUUCUUGUCACCUACAUCUCAGUCAUUCAUCACGAUCCAUUAUAUGUGUGAGAAUAUGAGAUACUUCGGAUAGAGGCAUUUAAUACAUCCCUCAUCCUCAUUAAAGUGGUACGUCCACUGGAAUGUUUAUUGAGUAGGUUUCCUUGGUACUACCAACUCCACAACAAGUUCUUGUGUUUUUCUAGAAAAUUCUCUCAUCUACUGGAAUUGAAAGCAAACUACUAUUUUCAAGUCUGACACUGCAUUUGAACA